UACGCAGGCGGAUCGUUAAGUCGGGUGUGAAAUCCCGGGGCUCAACCCCGGAACUGCAUUCGAAACUGGCGGUCUUGAGUACGGGAGAGGGAGGUGGAAUUCCUGGUGUAGAGGUGAAAUUCGUAGAUAUCAGGAGGAACACCGGUGGCGAAAGCGGCCUCCUGGCCCGAUACUGACGCUCAUGUACGAGAGCGUGGGGAGCAAACAGGAUUAGAUACCCUGGUAGUCCACGCUGUAAACGAUGAGUGCUAGCUGGUGGGAAUGUUUACCGUUUCACUGGCGAAGCUAACGCAUUAAGCACUCCGCCUGGGAAGUACGGCCGCAAGGCUAAA
rnacentral:rRNA from 1 species